AGGAAGAGGAAGGUCCUGUAGUUUCAUAAGACGCAGCGUGAGACUGGGGAAGUCAGUGUGUCACCGUGCUUGGACCUUUGCUGCCCGGUCUCUGGACUCGUUCACCAUCAGUCUCUUCCCACAAGAGAAUGUACAAAAUGAGGCCGAGGUUUCUCUGCAACAGUUUGCCAGCUGGUUUGAUGUUGGGUUUCUUGGUUUUCCUGCUUCGACCAGUUUCCACACAGAAAAACAGAAAUCGAAUGUAUUUCUUGGAUAAUGGAGA